AAGAGUUUGAUCAUGGCUCAGGACGAACGCUGGCGGCGUGCUUAACACAUGCAAGUCGAACGGAAAGGCCUCUUCGGAGGUACUCGAGUGGCGAACGGGUGAGUAACACGUGGGCAAUCUGCCCUGCACUUCGGGAUAAGCCUGGGAAACUGGGUCUAAUACCGGAUAGGACCUCAAGACGCAUGUCUUCUGGUGGAAAGCUUUUGCGGUGUGGGAUGGGCCCGCGGCCUAUCAGCUUGUUGGUGGGGUGACGGCCUACCAAGGCGACGACGGGUAGCCGGCCUGAGAGGGUGUCCGGCCACACUGGGACUGAGAUACGGCCCAGACUCCUACGGGAGGCAGCAGUGGGGAAUAUUGCACAAUGGGCGCAAGCCUGAUGCAGCGACGCCGCGUGGGGGAUGACGGCCUUCGGGUUGUAAACCUCUUUCACCAUCGACGAAGGUCCGGGUUUUCUCGGAUUGACGGUAGGUGGAGAAGAAGCACCGGCCAA
rnacentral:rRNA from 1 species